UACGUAGGGUGCGAGCGUUAAUCGGAAUUACUGGGCGUAAAGCGUGCGCAGGCGGUCUGUGAAGACAGGUGUGAAAGCCCCGGGCUUAACCUGGGAAUGGCGCUUGUAACUGGCAGGCUAGAGUGUGUCAGAGGGAGGUAGAAUUCCACGUGUAGCAGUGAAAUGCGUAGAGAUGUGGAGGAAUACCGAUGGCGAAGGCAGCCUCCUGGGAUAACACUGACGCUCAGGCACGAAAGCGUGGGGAGCAAACAGG
rnacentral:rRNA from 1 species